CUGGAUAUGGAGACACCUGAGGAGGGACUUGCAUAGCAGGCGAAUAAACGGGUGCUGUGCUCUGCUGAGGGUAAACAGCUUGUUGUGGAUAUGAACCUGCACGGAGAAAAAUAAAAAAAAGACAGAGGAUCCAUUGGUGAGCAAGUGAUGUAAAGCUACAUUUUUUCCAAAUCUGUUCUGAUGAAGAUACAAACUCAUCUAAAUCUUGGAUGGCCUGAGAGAAUGGAAGUACUGGUGCCAGGCCCAAAGCGAGCUCCAGCAUCGAAUCCACCAUCAACCAUGACGGUGGAACCAGGGGGGUACAUGGGCCCCAUCUGAUAAUAUGCCAUUGGGACACUAGGGGCCAUGGCCCCCAUUGGCC